GAGGGUAGAGCUCAGUGGUAGAGCUUGUGCUUAGCAUGCAUGAGGUCCUGGGUUCAAUCCCCAGUACCUCCA
rnacentral:tRNA from 1 species